rnacentral:lncRNA from 1 species
GAGACUGUUGGAGGUAUGCCCUAGAGGCAAUCAUAGAGAUGAUGAUAUUCCAUUUGUAUCCAUGAUUUGUAUAUUGUGUUCAUUGAAUAUCCAUUGAAGGCUACUUGAAUUGAUUUGCAAUUAUGUGAAUUGUAUGUGAAACUCUUUACUUGUAUGGUUAUUCUAAAGUUGUCCCUAGUCGGAGUUCAUGUGAGGACACACAUGAAUAUUAGACUAGCACAUGUAUUAGUUGAAUGACUAUGUUUCACAAGUCAUGGACAUGGAGAUGUUGAACUAAUAAUGUGGACACAUGUGGAGACAUGUGUUAGGACUGACCCAACACGAGAAGUAGUUCUCUCUUUAAACAACAUAUACGCUUUGUCCUUAGAC